UCGGGAAUUUUGGGCAAUGGGGGAAACCCUGACCCAGCAACGCCGCGUGAAGGAUGAAGUAUUUCGGUAUGUAAACUUCGAAAGAAUAGGAAGAAUAAAUGACGGUACUAUUUAUAAGGUCCGGCUAACUACGUGCCAGCAGCCGUGGUAAUACGUAGGGACCAAGCGUUGUUCGGAUUUACUGGGCGUAAAGGGCGCGUAGGCGGCAUGACAAGUCACUUGUGAAAUCUCUGGGCUUAACCCAGAACGGCCAAGUGAUACUGUCGCGCUAGAGUGCAGAAGGGGCAAUCGGAAUUCUUGGUGUAGCGGUGAAAUGCGUAGAUAUCAAGAGGAACACCUGAGGUGAAGACGGGUUGCUGGGCUGACACUGACGCUGAGGCGCGAAAGCCAGGGGAGCAAACGGGAUUAGAUACCCGGGUAGUCCCUGAGCGGGCUGGCAAGGCGCAU
rnacentral:rRNA from 1 species